rnacentral:rRNA from 1 species
AUUGAACGCUGGCGGCAGGCCUAACACAUGCAAGUCGAACGAGUGGCGGACGGGUGAGUAAUGUCUGGGAAACUGCCCGAUGGAGGGGGAUAACUACUGGAAACGGUAGCUAAUACCGCAUACCAUCGGAUGUGCCCAGAUGGGAUUAGCUUGUAGGUGAGGUAACGGCUCACCUAGGCGACGAACGCUAGCUGGUCUGAGAGGAUGACCAGCCACACUGGGAUGGAGCCACGGUCCAGACUCGUACGGGAGGCAGCGGUGGGGAAGAUUGCACAAGGGGCGCAAGUCUGAUUCAGCCAUGCCGCGUGUAGGAAGAAGGCCUUCGGGUUGUAAAGUACUUUCAGCGGGGAGGCGUUACCCGCAGAAGAAGCACCGGCUAACGCCGUGCCAGCCGCCGCGGUAAUAC